rnacentral:hammerhead_ribozyme from 1 species
AUUCAGAUGACGAGUUCCAAAUAGGACGAAACUCACGUGCUGAAU